UACGAAGGGGGCUAGCGUUGUUCGGAAUCACUGGGCGUAAAGGGCGCGUAGGCGGCCGAUCAAGUCGGGGGUGAAAGCCUGUGGCUCAACCACAGAAUUGCCUUCGAUACUGGUUGGCUUGAGACCGGAAGAGGUAAGUGGAACUGCGAGUGUAGAGGUGAAAUUCGUAGAUAUUCGCAAGAACACCAGUGGCGAAGGCGGCUCACUGGCCCGAUACUGACGCUGAGGUGCGAAAGCGUGGGGAGCAAACAGG
rnacentral:rRNA from 1 species